GUUGGCGGUAUCACUGGUACUGUGG
rnacentral:miRNA from 1 species